rnacentral:rRNA from 1 species
UACAGAGGGUGCGAGCGUUAAUCGGAAUUACUGGGCGUAAAGCGCGCGUAGGUGGCUAUGCAAGUCGGAUGUGAAAUCCCCGGGCUCAACCUGGGAACUGCAUUCGAGACUGCAUUGCUCGAGUAUGGGAGAGGGAAGUGGAAUUUCCGGUGUAGCGGUGAAAUGCGUAGAUAUCGGAAGGAACAUCAGUGGCGAAGGCGGUUGCCUGGAGCUUUGCUGACGCUGAUGCGCGAAAGCGUGGGGAGCGAUCCGG